rnacentral:rRNA from 1 species
CCUACGGGGGGCUGCAGUGGGGAAUAUUGGACAAUGGGGGCAACCCUGAUCCAGCCAUGCCGCGUGUGUGAAGAAGGCCCUCGGGUUGUAAAGCACUUUCAGUGAGGAAGAACGCCUGGUGGUGAAUACCCAUCAGGAAAGACAUCACUCACAGAAGAAGCACCGGCUAACUCCGUGCCAGCAGCCGCGGUAAUACGGAGGGUGCGAGCGUUAAUCGGAAUUACUGGGCGUAAAGCGCGCGUAGGUGGCUUGAUAAGCCGGUUGUGAAAGCCCCGGGCUCAACCUGGGAACGGCAUCCGGAACUGUCAAGCUAGAGUGCAGGAGAGGAAGGUAGAAUUCCCGGUGUAGCGGUGAAAUGCGUAGAGAUCGGGAGGAAUACCAGUGGCGAAGGCGGCCUUCUGGACUGACACUGACACUGAGGUGCGAAAGCGUGGGUAGCAAACAGGAUUAGAUACCCGGGUAGUC